UACGUAGGGCGCAAGCGUUGUCCGGAAUUAUUGGGCGUAAAGAGCUCGUAGGUGGUUUGUCGCGUCUGUCGUGAAAGCCCGGGGCUUAACUCCGGGUCUGCGGUGGAUACGGGGCAGACUAGAGGCAGGUAGGGGAGAACGGAAUUCCCGGUGUAGCGGUGAAAUGCGUAGAUAUCUGGAGGAACACCGGUGGCGAAGGCGGCAUCCUGGACCGACACUGACGCUGAGGAGCGAAAGCCAGGGGAGCAAACGGG
rnacentral:rRNA from 1 species